CUACGGGUGGCAGCAGUGGGGAAUAUUGGACAAUGGGGGCAACCCUGAUCCAGCCAUGCCGCGUGUGUGAAGAAGGCCUUUUGGUUGUAAAGCACUUUAAGCAGGGAGGAGAGGCUAAUGGUUAAUACCCAUUAGAUUAGACGUUACCUGCAGAAUAAGCACCGGCUAAAUUGUGCCAGCAGCCGCGGUAAUACAGAGGGUGCGAGCGUUAAUCGGAAUUACUGGGCGUAAAGCGAGUGUAGGUGGCUCAUUAAGUCACAUGUGAAAUCCCCGGGCUUAACCUGGGAACUGCAUGUGAUACUGGUGGUGCUAGAAUAUGUGAGAGGGAAGUAGAAUUCCAGGUGUAGCGGUGAAAUGCGUAGAGAUCUGGAGGAAUACCGAUGGCGAAGGCAGCUUCCUGGCAUAAUAUUGACACUGAGAUUCGAAAGCGUGGGUAGCAAACAGGAUUAGAUACCCUAGUAGUC
rnacentral:rRNA from 1 species